UGAUAAUUAGUUUAACAUAAAACAAAUGAUUUCGACUCAUUAGAUUAUGACCAAUUUCAUAAUUAUCAA
rnacentral:tRNA from 2 species